rnacentral:rRNA from 1 species
AUUGAACGCUGGCGGCGUGCUCAACACAUGCAAGUCGAUCGGUAACGCGGGGGCAACCCUGGCGACGAGAGGCGGACGGGUGAGGAACGCUUGGGAAUCUGCCCUUCAGCGGGGGACAACCCGGGGAAACUCGGGCUAAUACCGCAUACGCUCCACGGAGGAAAGCCGGGGACCGCAAGGCCUGGCACUGAAGGAUGAGCCCAAGCCGGAUUAGCUAGUUGGCGGGGUAACGGCCCACCAAGGCGACGAUCCGUAGCUGGUCUGAGAGGACGAUCAGCCACACUGGGACUGAGACACGGCCCAGACUCCUACGGGAGGCAGCAGUGGGGAAUUUUGGACAAUGGGGGAAACCCUGAUCCAGCCAUGCCGCGUGCGGGAAGAAGGCCUUCGGGUUGUAAACCGCUUUCGGCCGGAACGAAAUCGGCAGGGUGAAUAAUCCUGCUGGAUGACGGUACCGGAAGAAGAAGCACCGGCUAACUACGUGCCAGCAGCCGCUGUAACAC